rnacentral:miRNA from 1 species
AUCAUUUGGGGAUCUUGUUAAAAUGCAGAUUCUGAUUCAGUAGAGCCCAGAUUCCCCAUUUUAAGCUUCCAAGUGAUGAGGAAGCUGCU